rnacentral:lncRNA from 1 species
AUUAGCUUGGCUCGGGCUCGAGGGGCUGUCCAGCACUGUGGGGACUUCCAAGGUGGUGCUGGUGAUAAAGAAUCUGCCUGCCGAUGCAGGAGACGUGGGAGACUCGGGUUCCGUCCCUGGGUCGGGAAGAUCCCCUGGAGGAGGGCAUGGCGACCCACUCCAGUGUUUUUGCCUGGAGAAUCCCACGGACAGAGGAGCCUGGAGGGCUACAGUCCACGGGGUCUCAAGGAGACACGGCUGAAAUGACUCAGUACACACACACACUCAUUACCACACUUGCCCAUAAAGGCAACAUAGAGGAAUCAAUCACGUCUAGUGAAAGCAUCCCACUGGAGUGACAAAGUAAAUCCCUACAUCCCCAGAAUUUAUUUAAAACAGCACUCAUUCCACACACACAAAAAAACUCAUUCAAUGACAGUGUGUUAGAGUGGAUGGGAUGGAUGAAAAAAUUUGCAUUCCAUCAAAACUCUCCGAGAAACACACAUGGACCGCUUCUUAUCAUCAGCAUGUCACUAUCGUGUCUGACAGACGGCAUGUGUGAAUCACAUCCUUCUUUUUUUUUUCUCAAAGACGAUAAUGGAGAAACUCAGCUAACACAAGGUGAAGACAAGCCAGAAGGGUCUGGGAAGAGAAAGAGUUUCCACCUGAACGGGUUCUUCGGGAAUCUAAUAUAUGCCCAGCAUCGGGACUAGACCACGGACCAUCCUGUCGGCUGUCGCCAGGCUAAUCUCAUGAAUAGCAUCCUUUGGAUCGCCUUCACGCGGGGAUAAACCCUUAAUCACCACCCACAGUCAGCAGGAACACCGCCUCAACAGAACCCAACCAUUAACCCACACCCACCAUGGCGGGGUCGAAACCAUCUUUGAAGCAUCUUCCGUUUCCUCCCAAACAAAGCUGACCCCAGCAAGGUCUGCUGUGGUUUAAUCGCUCAGUCAUGUCUGACUCUUUUGCGACCCCACGGACUGUAGCCCCACCAGGCUCCUCUGUCCAUGAGGAUUCUCCAGGCAAGAACAGUGGAGUGGGUUGCCAUGCCCUCCUCCAGGGGGAUCUUCCCAACCGAGGGAUUGAAUCUAUAAUCUCAUGCGUCUCCUGCAAUGGCAGGCAAGUUCUUUACCCCUGAGCUACUAGGGACGCCCCUAGCAAAGACUGCCCCCCCACAAUAAAACAGAAAAGGGCUCUGAAGACCACCAGGUUUGAGCUUCUCACUUUUGUUUUCUCCCAGAUGAGUUUUCACCACUGUCUUUCAUCACAGUGCCUGGGCGGAGGGGAGCUGGGCGUGGGGAAGUCGCCUAUGAUUCUACUGCCCUUUUUCCCGCCCUGACACCACUCUCUGUGAAAUCCAACUGAUUACACCAUACGCCUGGUAUUUCUUGAGGACUCUUCUGGGGGCAGUAUAUGUAACCGGUGUGUUGGAGAAGCAUGAAUCACAGGGGUGAAAGCAGAGAGCAAUUCCAUUUUGUCUCCUAGCAUCCCUUUCUGGGCUUCCCAGGUGGCCCAGGGGUGAAGAAUCCGCCUGAUUAUACUGACGAUCCGCGUUCGACCCCUGGGUCGGGAAGAUCCCCUGGAGGAGGGCAUGGAGACCCACUCCAG